rnacentral:misc_RNA from 1 species
AUCAGCUAGAAAUAUUUAUGAUAAUGAAUAAUUAGCAAUCAUUCGUCUUCCUUUCCAGAGAAAGAACUGACUUCAAGCAUGCAUGGAAACAUUGUCUAGGCUAUAAAAGAAUUCAUUUUUAACUUACAAAGGAAUAUUACCAAUGACAUGGCUUGUCAAGAAGAACAAAAAUACUAUUAAUUAAUGAUACAUAUACUAAAAAAGUUGCUGCAAAAUUUCCAGAAAACAAACACUUUCCGUAUGUUAACGAGCUCUUGACUUCAUAUUUUCCAGUUUAGAGCGCCGUUCUUCAUAAGAUGGCUCAGUUGGCCUCGACAUGAGAGGAACAUGUGAGGCUCUCUUUUUGUCUGUUCCAUUCCAUCCAUUCCAUGAGCUUUCGUCUGGAAAGUCAUAACAGAACAAGUAACUAUAAUCAUCCAAAGCAAGUUAAUAAGAUGGUACAGUUUCAAAAGGGAUGAGUACCAGUAUUGAUUUCAGCAUCAUUUGACAAAGGCAAACAGCUGAGUAGAGCCUCAUGAAAGAUAGCAGCUUGGAGUUGGUAUAGCUGACAUUCAUUCUCCAAGUGAGUGCGCAGAGCUUGCUCAGCAUCUGUUGAACAUGUAAACUUGAGACCUUCAAAUUCACAGGAAUGAAGAACCAACGGGAUUUCUGAGGCCAUGGGAUAUUGGGGUUUCCUUGGUGUCCUAUCAAUAUCCAGCAAUACAUCUAUCACCUGUGCAUUUGAGUACUUAAAAUGAGUUCCUUUCAUGGCACAUGAAGAAUUCAUCAUGAAGACAUGAAGAAGUGAAUAUUAUGCAAUGUAGCCAUUGUUGAAAUUGUCUUAAUGAUGCAUCAUGUGGACUUGCAAGCCAAUUCUUGCUAUCUUUUUCUCUACAUCUCCUAUGUGACAAUUCAAACUUGGGGAAUUCCCUCAAAUUUAUGAACAAAAGCAAUAUACAAAUGCUACCAUCAGAUUGUUCAUUAGUUAGGAUAUUCUAGCUCAUCUAGAGGAUCACAAUGCUUACUAGUGUAUAUGAGCAAGCAAGGAGUAUUGCCUCCAAAUGGUCCCCACCUGAAAAUUAUGAUAAAAAUAGCUAUCAUUGUUGCCAGAAUUUUGGUGCAUGGUGGGUGGAAAGUUAAUUGCAAAACUAAAAGGAGGAUUUGGGAAAAUAGUAAGAUGAAGCUCAUUGAAGAUUGUCACUGCUCUCAUGCAUUCAUGCAAGCUUUUUGUGCUGAUGUCUAUAUGCAUUUCUCUCAGCCAUUGUACAUGUAUUCAUGAUGUCUCAGGUCUAAUAUUUUUGUGCGGACAUCUUAACCAAAGAAAAAGAAACUAGGGCCCACAUGCCAUAAUUAUGUAUGCAAGACUUCCUUUCUUAAAGAGUUAAAUUAGCAAGAUAAACCACAUGCUCAUGAGAACAACUGGUACGCACAUUGGCGGAUUCAAGACCUUGGCCAAUCAUAAAUAGCACAGCAACCAUACACCGGACUUGGUGCCACAGGAAAGCACUACCUUUAAUUUUUAUAGCACAAAGUUGAUUGUCUUCAAACCUCAUUUUACAUGGAGAAAUUUCAAAUGAGGUUAUAUGCCGCCUGUAGUUGUGCACGUUCACCGCAUCCAUCUUACAGAAGUUUCUGAAGUCAUGCUCCCCAAUAAAUUUUUUACCUGCACUCUCCAUAGCGAAGAGAUUGAGUUUGUCGAUCCAAAAGAAAUAUUUAUACUCCCUACUGAGACAGGUAAACCUUGCACUAAAAUCAUUUGGAACAGGACACCAGCCUACAAUUCGAAUAUCAUUUGGAAGGACUCGAUUCAGUACUCUCACAUAAUCAAUUUCUCCUUCUGGAAAAGGAAAUGGAAAUAUAAAGACAAAUGAAAAUUACAGUAAUAGUAUGAAUUAAAUCCAGGAAUUAGAAUGAAUUUGAUUCAUAUUUCAUUUGAGAAAAUGUUCCCAUCGAAUUUGAUCAAGACAAGUAGUAUGCAAUGUGAAAGCUGGCUGCUCAGUCCUACUUGUGCCCAUCUCCUCCACACAGUUAGUUAUGCAUACUUUUGUCACCCUAAAAUACUAAUAUUUAGAACUGGCCCAACUUUGCUUAGAUUUAACUCAAGUUUAAGUCAUGAUUAAGUUUAACAUCAAGCUCAAAACAUUAUCUAAGAUUGGCUAAUUAGUUUUCAAAUAAAGUAAUGAGCUCAAGUUUGUUUCUAGUUUCAUCAGCUAAGGAGCAACAACUAUUUUUGAUAUAUUUAUUGUAUAAUGAACCCUGUUUCUUAUGCUUGCUUGAGUGCUUAAGUAAACACAAUAUUAAAAAUACUACUUUUAAGUCAUGUCUUUAAUUAUUUAUUUACAGUCACAAGUGUGAUACUUUCAUUAUUGUUAUUUACUGGACACUUCCUCACAAAGUUUUGCUCAAACAGAAACAGUUCCUAUAUGUAGCAAAUAUUUUCCUUGUUAUGAUUGUUCAUGCCUUGCUUAGCCUUAGUUUUGGUAAUUGGUAGUGAAUUUGUCAUACCUUGUAAUAUAUAAGAGUUGACACUAAAGGCAAAUGAGAAGAUAAAUAUGUGUGCUUAUGAGAGAGAGAGAGAGAGAAGUUGUGGGAAUUACCCAUGUAUGACUGUGCAAUUGUCAGAAAGCUAUCUCACCCCAUAAAGCAAAUUGGAUGAUAGUGCCAAAAGAAAAAAAGAAAAAGUCAAUUCUCCUUUAGCUGUGUACUACUCCAUUACUAGAAAACUUCACAAGCCAUACGUGCAGCAAUUGUCUGAUGAAAAGAUGAUUUCAUUUAUCCAUCGUAUUUUCUUUGGUUCCUUUUAUAACAUGUUCAGUGAAACUGUUCAAAAAUUGGUAACACAAAACAGGAUUUUAAACCAUGAAACCAUAUUUGUUGCUGCAAAAACAAUGUUAAUACUGGAUACAAGUGAAUUAAAUUUAGUGGUCAAAGGAAGGACAGAAUCAGCAUUGAACCAUUUUAAAUCCAAAAAGUUCCACCUAACAUAAACAAAUAAAAGCUCAGAAAUCAAUCUAAAAGUUCCCAGAACAGGAUAAUGUGGCUGACCAUUAUGCUCUUCUGAAACAAUUUCCCCUGAAUUUUUGUUGUUUGCAUCAAUGUCCUUGAGUUUGGAUCGUAAAAACAAAGCAAUCACUUGUCCAACUGCAGAAACUCCUUUGUCUGUUCUACCACAUCGAGAAUACUGUAUCUCCUUCUUGUCACCAAUUAAAAGCCUUGUCCUUUCAAGAGCUUUGAAAAUCUCAGACUCAACAGUUGGAUCCAUCUGUCCUUCUGAAGAAAAACCAUAAAACCUUUGACCAAAAUACAUGAUUUUUAAAGCUACAAAUCUCCUUCGAUGGUGAUUCAUGGUACUUGUGUCAUAACCUGAAAUUUUGUCUCUUGCUUUCUUUUUAGCAGUCUCAUGCCCUCCAGGAUUUACUUCCCCACUCUCUCUUCCAUCAAGCUUCUCCUCUGUCUCAUUGCAGCGACAAUUUGAGAGUCGAGCGGAUAAUUUAGCAUUUUCAGCCUCCAAUUCCUUGACUCUGUUUUCGAGAGAAGCUAUUUGGGAUUUCAAAUUGAUCACAGCUUCUUCUUCUAAUACUACUUUUUGUGACAUGGUUGAUUGGUUUGCGUGGCGGUCGUCUUCGGUUGCAGCGCUCUUCACUCCGUUAGUUGGCUUUGCUUGCCAGGGGAAGAAGAGAAAUGGUUACAGACCAUAGCCUAGUUGUGUCUGAUUAUAUGCUUGACAAUGUAUGGAAU